GACGUAGGGGACGAGCGUUGUCCGGAUUCAUUGGGCGUAAAGCGCGCGUAGGCGGCCACGCAAGUCGGGUGUGAAAUCCCGGAGCUCAACUCCGGAACUGCACUCGAAACUGCGCGGCUUUGAGGUAGGUAGGGGAGAUCGGAAUUCCUGGUGUAGCGGUGGAAUGCGCAGAUAUCAGGAGGAACACCGGUGGCGAAGGCGGAUCUCUGGGCCUUACCUGACGCUGAGACGCGAAAGCUAGGGGAGCGAACAGG
rnacentral:rRNA from 1 species